rnacentral:rRNA from 1 species
GUAGGUGGGCAAGCGUUGUCCGGAAAUUAUUGGGGCGUAAAGCGCGCGCAGGGCGGUCCUUUAAGUCUGAUGUGAAAGCCCACGGCUCAACCGUGGAGGGUCAUUGGAAACUGGGGGACUUGAGUACAGAAGAGGAAAGCGGAAUUCCAAGUGUAGCGGUGAAAUGCGUAGAGAUUUGGAGGAACACCAGUGGCGAAGGCGGCUUUCUGGUCUGUAACUGACGCUGAGGCGCGAAAGCGUGGGGAGCAAACAGGAUUAGAUACCCUGGUAGUCCACGCCGUAAACGAUGAGUGCUAAGUGUUAGGGGGUUUCCGCCCCUUAGUGCUGCAGCUAACGCAUUAAGCACUCCGCCUGGGGAGUACGGCCGCAAGGCUG